UACAGAGGGGGCAAGCGUUGUUCGGAAUUACUGGGCGUAAAGGGCGCGUAGGCGGCGCAACAAGUCACUUGUGAAAUCUCCGGGCUUAACCCGGAGCGGCCAAGUGAUACUGUCGUGCUAGAGUGCGGAAGGGGCUACUGGAAUUCUCGGUGUAGCGGUGAAAUGCGUAGAUAUCGAGAGGAACACCUGCGGCGAAGGCGGCCUCUGGACGAUGACUGACGCUGAGACGCGAAAAGCGUGGGGAGCAAACAGG
rnacentral:rRNA from 1 species